rnacentral:lncRNA from 1 species
GAAGAGGAAAAAUCCUGUGAUGUAAUAACUGCUUUCUGAGUCUGAGUUCUCUAAUAGGAUCCCCUUUUCCGGCAGUUUGAGUGGAAGUUGGACUUUCUCUUUCGAUGGCGGUCCAGGCUUUCUGCCUUUUAGUCUAAAGCCCUUCGAGCCAUUGGAAGUUGCCUUUUCCCCUUAGUGGAUGGGGUUACAUACGAGCCAACCAAUAGGUAGGGUGCUACCCUCUGACCUGACGAGCUCCCUUUCCAUUUUCUGAGGUUUAAGGAGUAGGUUACUUGGGGCAUGUGAGCUUUAGCCAUUUCCAGCCUAGCUGAGUAAGUAAAUGUAAAUCUCUCUUCAUCUUUUUUAGUCUAUCGAUCUAGGCCCUGCCUAGAUAAUCUCCCAGUGAUCUAGAGUGUCAUCCAUUUUCAGUGCUAGCUCCGACUC